GUCGGCGGCCCACCAACAUCUCCGGUCAUCCUCUCUACUUUUUACCUCAUUUUCUCUUCGUAUCUGCGUCUACUUCUACCAGUCAUCCUCUUAUAGCAGGAAAUCGCCGAGCACAGCAGGACCCGUGUACCGCAGACUGAUAUAUCCCGCACGUGACCGGAUAUAGCAGGAGCGUAGCGGGGAUGGUAGAGCCCUUGCAGGUCACCCAAAGAACUUAAGCAGUUAUAAGUCACCUCUGGGAGCUUUUGUAUCUCAGUCUCCACUGCUUCUCUGGACACUUGUCUCCCUGAGAACUCAACGUGACGACCUUGGAGAAGAGGACUAGGAGGACGAUGACAACUACCCACAAAAUCUCAAGCGAGCAGCUGGGGGUAAAUAUGUUUGAAUUAAGAGGACCAGGAUCAAGGGAACACAGGGAGAAGCUGAAAACACAGGUGAUCCAGAGUGAUGUAAAGGAAGUAUUUCUUUAUAGUCUAAGGGUAGUUGAAAACUUGUUAUGUCUUGGAUAAUGCAGUGAUGGAGGU